AGUGAGAGUAGGAAGCAAAAGCAGGAGCUUCCGUCUCCUCUUCCUUCUCUCUUGCCUCAAAUCUCGUAACACAGAUUCUCUGUCUCUUUCUCUCGCACCAGAGAAAGCAAGUAUUACGGAGCGAUCCUAGGUAGAUUCUUCCCCCAAAUUCGAUUGGCCGGCGGUUGGACGGGACCGCCAGAUCUGGCCGCGGGACCGCCAGAUCUGGCCGCCGGACCGCCAGAUCUGACCGUCUGAGGCCUGAGGUCGCGACCCAGGCCGAUCUAAAUCGGGAUUCUUUUUUCGCCGGGAGGCCGUCGGGUCCAUCGCCGAUCCUAACGAGCUGCCGCUCCUUCCCACACCUCCAGCUACCGGAGACGACGAGCCUGCUCUCUGCUCCGAGCCGACGGUGCUUGCGAUCCUUCCUCGUGACGACGAAACCACUCUCUGUUUUCGCAGGUUCGCUCGGGGUCCCUUACGGCUUCGUCUUGCAUCGCCACCGGCAGCCCAAAGUCACUACCGAGACGAGACGAGCCGAGCCGUGUCACAAAUCGUCGGCCGAAUCACCGCCGCGUGCACCUUGCCGAACCGUCACCGCAGCCAUGCUUUGCCAGUGAGCACCUUACCGGUCAUCCGUCGAGGCGAUUCCGAUGAAGUCCAAAUUUGGCACUUUUAUCCUGUGAAGUUAGUAUACCCCCUAGGAUCUCGGUCUUCAUUGGAUUAUCGGUCAUCUGUGUGUGCUCUGCUGCGGAAGCAUUCCGAAAACCUCACCACACCAAGUU